CACGUAGGGCGCAAGCGUUGUCCGGAAUUAUUGGGCGUAAAGAGCUCGUAGGCGGUCUGUUGCGUCUGCUGUGAAAACCCGGGGCUUAACCCCUGGCUUGCAGUGGAUACGGACAGACUAGAGGUAGGUAGGGGAGAAUGGAAUUCCCGGUGUAGCGGUGAAAUGCGCAGAUAUCGGGAGGAACACCGGUGGCGAAGGCGGUUCUCUGGGCCUUUACCUGACGCUGAGGAGCGAAAGCCAGGGGAGCAAACGGGG
rnacentral:rRNA from 1 species